rnacentral:lncRNA from 1 species
CCCAAUCAAAUGACAUAUGAAUUUAUAAAAAUAGAUAUACAAAAAGCAAGAUUUGAUUUGCAGCAGGUCAAGUUUACGAGUUUAUUCCAGCUACGCCAGUGACUUACAAACUUACAACUUUUCACAGUGUGCCAGAGGGUUGCAUCCUGUUCUGCAAAUUAUGUUUCACAUGUACAAUUAAUUUGUUCACCAAAAGUUAAAGACGCCAAAAUGAUUUUUGUCAGAGUUACAUAAAUGUUGC